rnacentral:rRNA from 1 species
UACGUAGGUGACCAGCGUUGUCCGGAUUUACUGGGCGUAAAGAGCGCGCAGGCGGUCGUUCAAGUCGAGUGUGAAAGCCCCCGGCUCAACUGGGGAGGGUCAUUCGAUACUGAUCGACUGGAAGGCAGGAGAGGGAAGCGGAAUUCCCGGUGUAGUGGUGAAAUGCGUAGAGAUCGGGAGGAACACCCGUGGCGAAGGCGGCCAGCUGGGCCGACCCUGACGCUGAGGCGCGAAGGCGUGGGGAGCGAACGGG